rnacentral:rRNA from 1 species
GUUACUGUGCGAACGGUUAUUCGGAAUCACUGGGCUUAAAGGGUGCGUAGGCGGGCUGGAUAAGUAGGGGUGUGAAAUCCCUCGGGCUCAACCGAGGAACUGCGCUCUAAACUGUCCGGCUUGAGUGAGAUAGGGGUGUGCGGAACUUCCAGUGGAGCGGUGAAAUGUGUUGAUAUUGGAAGGAACGCCGGUGGCGAAAGCGGCACACUGGGUCUCAACUGACGCUGAGGCACGAAAGCCAGGGUAGCGAACGGGAUUAGAUACCCCGGUAGUCCUGGCCGUAAACGAUGAGCACUAGUUGGGAGGGGGUUUCGGCCUCUUCGAACGUAGCGAAAGCAUUAAGUGCUCCGCCUGGGGAGUAUGGUCGCAAAGGCUG